AUUGAACGCUGGCGGCAGGCCUAACACAUGCAAGUCGAGCGGAUGAAGGGAGCUUGCUCCUGGAUUCAGCGGCGGACGGGUGAGUAAUGCCUAGGAAUCUGCCUGGUAGUGGGGGAUAACGUCCGGAAACGGGCGCUAAUACCGCAUACGUCCUGAGGGAGAAAGUGGGGGAUCUUCGGACCUCACGCUAUCAGAUGAGCCUAGGUCGGAUUAGCUAGUUGGUGGGGUAAAGGCCUACCAAGGCGACGAUCCGUAACUGGUCUGAGAGGAUGAUCAGUCACACUGGAACUGAGACACGGUCCAGACUCCUAAGGAAGGCAACAGUGGGGAAUAUUGGACAAUGGGCGAAAGACUGAUCCAGCCAGGCCGCGUGUGUGAAGAAGGUCUUCGGAUUGUAAAGCACUUUAAGUUGGGAGGAAGGGCAGUAAGUUAAUACCUUGCUGUUUUGACGUUACCAACAGAAUAAGCACCGGCUAACUUCGUG
rnacentral:rRNA from 1 species